GGAUAUGAGGGCGAUCUGGCUGCAACAUCUGUCACCCCAUGAUCGCCAGGGUUGAUUUGACUAAUCUGGCUGGCUAGGCGGGUGUCCCCUUCUUCCCUCACUGCUCCAUGUGUGUCCCUCCUGAAGCUGUGUGCUCAGUCGAAGAGGAUGGCCUUCCCCAAAUAGAGACAGAUGGGUCUUUGGUUGAGGAUAUACGGGUAGUUGUGCUCUCCUGCUAGAGCCUCCAGACAAGCUUUCAAAGUGUAUAUGCUUUAGAAAUCAAGAGUGGUAACAUUUUUCCCUUAGUAAUUUUUAAGUUUAAUACUU
rnacentral:snRNA from 1 species